AUGGUGAAGUUCACCGCACGCCGGAGUUUGCCCGAGCUGGUGGCGCCGGCACGGCCAACACCACGCGAGACCAAAGUCCUCUCCGACGUCGACGACUGUUAUGACCUACGAGUCUACUCUUUUGGGAUCGAGUUCUUCCGCUGCCGACCAGACGGCCAUCCAACGACGACGCCGACAAAGGCCGUCAAGGUAGCGCUCGCGGAGGCUCUGGUGUACUACUACCCCAUGGCCGGUCGGUUGAGAGAGAUUCUCCCCACGAACAAGCUGGUGGUGGACUGCACCGGAGAGGGAGUGGUGUUCGUGGAAGCAUUGGCCGACGUGGGGCUGGAAGAGUUUGGAAAUCCAUCACCGCGGCCCCCAUACCCAUGCAUCGAGGAACUAUUAUGUGACGCCGGCGAUAUCAAAGUCGUGGUUGACAAGCCCUUGUUCUUUGUCCAA
rnacentral:rRNA from 1 species